CCGGGAUGGACGUUCCGCUGGUGUACCAGUUGUGCCGCCAGGCGCAUCGCUGGGUAGCUAUGAACGGCAGGGAUAAACGCUGAAAGCAUCUAAGUGUGAAGCCCCCCUCGAGAUGAGAUUUCCCAUUCCUAUAUGGAAGUAAGACCCCUGAGAGAUGAUCAGGUAGAUAGGCUGGAAGUGGAAGUGCAGCGAUGCAUGGAGCGGACCAGUACUAAUCGGUCGAGGACUUAACCAAG
rnacentral:rRNA from 1 species